GCUGUCUGGCCUGGCUUGUGCAUCAGAACUACCGGCUCUGCUUUUCCCUCGUCUCAGGGAUUCACACUCCGGAGCACCUUGGGGAACUUGGAGCCACUGAUGAAAGUAAUGCCUGAGAGAGUGGCAUCAGCAGCCGCAGCGAAGGUGCUCCAUCUCUGUGAACUAACAUAAGUACUGGUCCAGGAAAAGGAAGGAAGGAAGCCUGUUCCUUCAUGUAGGAAAUGAGUUGCCAGUCCAGGUUCGAUGCACGAUGCUGGAUGCUUGGGGCUGGUGCACUGGACGGCCCAGAGGGAUGAGCAUAGUAUAUCUUCAAAGAGGCCCUUCUGCCUAUCCUGAGGGAAACUCAUUGGGAUGAAGCUGCUGUGUCUUCCAAGAGGGUUACCAUCUGGUGUUGACCAGCAUAGGAACACCGAUGCAAAGGACAGCUGUCUGGACCAGGCUAGCAUGUUGUGUCUAGUGGUAUAUUCACUCCUUCGAAUACCCUGUAAAAUAGGUUUUCAUUUCCACAGAUUACAAACGAGACUUCAAGAGAUUCAUUAAGCUACUGCAGGUCACAAUUUAGUAAAAUCUGGAACUAGUACAAUCUAUACCUCCCUGGCUCCAAACAUGUGUUCUUUUCUUUCUGCCAAACUUCCUAGAAUAAAAAGUAAAAUGUGUAAAUAGGAUGCCACCUGACAGUUUUAGAACCUAAGAAGCUGAGAAAUGCCAAGCCUACCCAUAGUAAAUCCUGGGUAAAGCCUGGGGUUUGGAUCCUAGCAGACCCAAGCAUUCGAGAGCCAUGGUUUUAUUGAUCUUCACACUGUUUGACUUCAAUUCAAAGUAAAAUUUGCCAUCAUUUAGGUACAUCCAUGUCUCUACAAAUAACCAAAUUUUGUUCCUUUUUAAGGCUGAAUAACAUUCCAUUGCAUAUAUGUACCACAUCUUCUUUAUCCAUUCCUCUGCCGAUUGACAUUAGGUUACUUCUAUGUCUUAGCUAUUGGAAAUUGU
ensembl:lncRNA